ACGCACGCUGGCGGCGUGCUUAACACAUGCCAGUCGCACGGAAAGGCCCUGCUUUUGUGGGGUGCUCGAGUGGCGAACGGGUGAGUAACACGUGAGUAACCUGCCCUUGACUUUGGGAUAACUUCAGGAAACUGGGGCUAAUACCGGAUAGGAGCUCCUGCUGCAUGGUGGGGGUUGGAAAGUUUCGGCGGUUGGGGAUGGACUCGCGGCUUAUCAGCUUGUUGGUGGGGUAGUGGCUUACCAAGGCUUUGACGGGUAGCCGGCCUGAGAGGGUGACCGGCCACAUUGGGACUGAGAUACGGCCCAGACCCCUACGGGAGGCAGCAGUGGGGAAUAUUGCACAAUGGGCGGAAGCCUGAUGCAGCAACGCCGCGUGCGGGAUGACGGCCUUCGGGUUGUAAACCGCUUUCGCCUGUGACGAAGCGUGAGUGACGGUAAUGGGUAAAGAAGCACCGGCUAACUACGUG
rnacentral:rRNA from 1 species